CCUCAUGUCACAACUUUCCUCCAGUGGCUUACUGAAUUUGAGCGGAAAACUUCAAAUUAGAUGAUCCAUGGCCCAUGCUUUCUGGACAUUUACACAAGACGAACAACAAUGAAGACAAGCUCUCUCGCCAUCUUGCAAGACGCUGUCUCUGUCCAAUAGGUUUUUUGAGUGCAACAGUUUUGAUUUUUUUUUCCUUCUUUUACCAGUUUGUUAAAAUUUAUUUCAGGUACUUACACUUUUAUUGUCACGUGUAUUGGCUCACCCUACAAAUCAAUGAACUCAGUCCACAAAGCAAGGUCAGGGUUCAGUGCAGGUCAGUCAAGUUCCUUCACACCACACAUGCUCAUCCAUGUCCUUGUGGACCCUGCUUUGUGCAUUGAUUUGGUAGUGUGAGCCAGUAUUUUGGACAAGGUGUAUAUAGAGGCAGAAGUGUGGGGCUUGAUGUUCUAUUCAUUUCACUUCAGUUUAUUUUUAUGGUGCCAACGAUGCCAUCACUUGAGCAUAUGUUGUCUGUUAUGAUAUGGAUAUGACAUAGCUACUAUCGUUAUUGUUUGUACAACUAUCUGAGAAAAUACAUGGGUUAAAUGGUUUAGUAAAAACAAGUGCUUCCUCAAACAAAAUAUGUUUUCAGUUCUUUUCGGUUUUUGAUUUCGGAAAUAUGUAUUUCUGCAGAGGAAAAUCAGAACAGAAAUAAAAAGUGGUGUAAAGCACA